UAGGGAAUCUUCCACAAUGGGCGCAAGCCUGAUGGAGCAACACCGCGUGGGUGAAGAAGGGUUUCGGCUCGUAAAGCUCUGUUGUUAAAGAAGAACACGUAUGAGAGUAACUGUUCAUACGUUGACGGUAUUUAACCAGAAAGUCACGGCUAACUACGUGCCAG
rnacentral:rRNA from 1 species